GUGCUUCUUUUCAUCCCCCUCAGACUAAAAUCAGUUUGUCAGCAUUGAGACUGGUGUCACUGGUGACUAUAGCUCCAUCUACAGGUCUGCAAACAGAGGGGUGCUGCAGCUUCACUCCCUUACCCCAAGACAGAUGUAUUGCAACAGUUCAGGAUGAUUUGUAUAAAGGAUAUUUUUCCUCCAACCAUCUCACUAUGUAUCUUUUCUACGUAGGACAGAGAAGUGGCUGGUAAGUGGCUGUUGCUGGGUGAGGGAGGGAGUAAGGGAUUGCUAAAUUGGCUGAGAAACUGUCAUGGAAUGUUGAAAAUGAAAAUCAUGUGACUGCAACAUCAGCCGAGCAAGAGCCAGUAGCACUGAAGCAAACACAAUUUUCUUAAAUUUCAUGCUCUCUGGGUCAUGGGUCCCAGGUUUUGGACACAUUCUGUAAAUUAGCCUAUUUGAAUUACCUUGUUAAAAAAUGAUUGCUCUAUGAUGCAUCAUUUCACCAUUUCAUGACAACCAGAGUUUUAGUUAUAUAUAGAUUUCUAAUGAAAACGCUCCAGAAUUUUCCUAAGAAGUCAGAUUCCUUUCAUUCCUGCUGUAAUGCCACUUAUCCUUUGUGUAGAAAAAAAUGG